UACGUAGGGUGCAAGCGUUAAUCGGAGUUACUGGGCGUAAAGCGUGCGCAGGCGGCUUUGCAAGACAGAUGUGAAAUCCCCGGGCUUAACCUGGGAACUGCAUUUGUGACUGCAUGGCUAGAGUGCGGCAGAGGGGGAUGGAAUUCCGCGUGUAGCAGUGAAAUGCGUAGAUAUGCGGAGGAACACCGAUGGCGAAGGCAAUCCCCUGGGCCUGCACUGACGCUCAUGCACGAAAGCGUGGGGAGCAAACAGG
rnacentral:rRNA from 1 species